rnacentral:rRNA from 1 species
UUCCGUAGGUGAACCUGCGGAGGGAUCAUUACCGAGUUUACAACUCCCAAACCCAAUGUGAACCAUACCAAACUGUUGCCUCGGCGGGGUCACGCCCCGGGUGCGUCGCAGCCCCGGAACCAGGCGCCCGCCGGAGGGACCAACCAAACUCUUUCUGUAGUCCCCUCGCGGACGUUAUUUCUUACAGCUCUGAGCAAAAAUUCAAAAUGAAUCAAAACUUUCAACAACGGAUCUCUUGGUUCUGGCAUCGAUGAAGAACGCAGCGAAAUGCGAUAAGUAAUGUGAAUUGCAGAAUUCAGUGAAUCAUCGAAUCUUUGAACGCACAUUGCGCCCGCCAGUAUUCUGGCGGGCAUGCCUGUCCGAGCGUCAUUUCAACCCUCGAACCCCUCCGGGGGUCCGGCGUUGGGGAUCGGGAACCCCUAAGACGGGAUCCCGGCCCCGAAAUACAGUGGCGGUCUCGCCGCAGCCUCUCAUGCGCAGUAGUUUGCACAACUCGCACCGGGAGCGCGGCGCGUCCACGUCCGUAAAACACCCAACUUCUGAAAUGUUGACCUCGGAUCAGGUAGGAAUACCCGCUGAACUUAAGCAUAUCAAUAA